rnacentral:rRNA from 1 species
UACAGAGGUCCCAAGCGUUGUUCGGAUUUACUGGGCGUAAAGGGUGCGUAGGUGGUAGGGUAAGUCUGGUGUGAAAUCUCAGAGCUCAACUCUGAAACUGCACUGGAUACUAUCCUGCUCGAGGUUGGGAGGGGAGACUGGAAUUCUCGGUGUAGCAGUGAAAUGCGUAGAUAUCGAGAGGAACACCAGUGGCGAAGGCGAGUCUCUGGCCCAAUCCUGACGCUGAGGCACGAAAGCCAGGGGAGCAAACGGG